rnacentral:rRNA from 1 species
CUAGUAAUGGCAGGUCAGCAUACUGCCGUGAAUACGUUCCCGGGCCCUUGUACACACCGCCCGUCACACCAUGAGAGUUGGGAAUACCCGAAGCCUGUGAGCUAACUUAUAGAGGCAGCAGUCGAAGGUAGAAUCAAUGAUUGGGGUGAAGUCGUAACAAGGUAAC